AAGAAUCAAACUUUAUAAUCAUCUCAACAAACACUACUAAGGGUGAAUUUAACAAAUAGAGAUAACUGGCUACUCAGCCAAUCCACAUGCACCCUUACAGAGUUCUAGUUGAUCACAAUUAGCCCACCUUAACAACGCAUUGCACACUAA